AUACGUAGGGAGCGAGCGUUGUCCGGAAUUACUGGGCGUAAAGGGAGCGUAGGCGGGACUGCAAGUCAGAUGUGAAAUACCGGGGCUUAACCCCGGAGCUGCAUUUGAUACUGUGGUUCUUGAGUGAAGUAGAGGCAAGCGGAAUUCCUGGUGUAGCGGUGAAAUGCGUAGAUAUCAGGAGGAACACCGGUGGCGAAGGCGGCUUGCUGGGCUUUUACUGACGCUGGGGCUCGAAAGCGUGGGUAGCAAACAGGAUUAGAUACCCUGGUAGUCCACGCUGUAAACGAUGAUUACUGGGUGUGGGGGGACUGACCCCUUCCGUGCCGCAGUUAACACAAUAAGUAAUCCACCUGGGGAGUACGGCCGCAAGGUUGAAACUCAAAUGAAUUGACGGGG
rnacentral:rRNA from 1 species